UUGAGGAUGUGCUUGUGUGUCACACCAAUGAAUACAAGCCUUUCACAACUGAAGAAAAUAAAUAUAACCUCAGCAUAUGAGAGAAAGAUAAUACAAUUUUUAACGGUUGCUCAACCUGCUUGCUUUGAUUUGCAGCAAAAUCUCUAAAAAAAAAUCUACAGACUGAUGAAAUUUGAAAACUACUGUGCAAACCACCAUAAAGAUGUGAUAAGUUACUCCACAAAACCUCUUCUCAAAUUUCCCAUAACUGCUAACAUUGACCUCUUCCAUUUCUUCUAAGUUACUUUUACCCCAGGUCAACACACAAAUGUCUGCAUUCUGUUACAAAAUAUUUUCAGAUUUUACAAACUAGCAAGCACUUACUAACAUUUUAAUAGGCAAACAGUUAAUUUUGCAUAAAAUUCUAGUAUAGUCAAGCCCAUCUUUAUCUAGCCUUUAUCUAGCCUAUUGAAUGACGUUACAGAGUGCAGUGUUUCAAAUGUUGACAGACAUGGCAUGUCUAUCCCAUACUCAUGAUUACUUCUACCAAAGCAGUUGAAAAUGUUAGGAGGAAAAUCCUAGGACAAACAAAUACAAAAAGUCUGCUAUAAUACUAAUUUAGCAAAUUAAAUGCACUUACUCCUAUCCAUGCCAAAUUGUUCUACUUUUGAAUAUUUUGUCUUCUCAUUUGAGAAGACAGAAGUUGAAUUCCAAAAAAAAAAACAGUGCUGAUUUUAUCAAGGACACAAGUAUAACCAAAUAACAUUGAAUGGCACAUCAAAGAGCAUACUAGUUUUAUUAGAACAAUAUAUAUGCAAAAGCUCCACAUUAUAUUAUAAGUACUAAAUGUGUGUAUUCUUCAGUAUAAUUUCAGAAGGAUCAGGAAAGGGAUUUGUUUAUUUUUUAAGUUUACAUACUUAUAUUCGGUAUUCAAUGAGAAAAUACUCUACUGGCAAGUGUCCCUCCAUAUACUGUGGCAUUCAUCAGAAGGGAUAAAGUUACACAAGAUCUGGCCUAUAUCACCUCUAAGGAAGGUGGAGAUUAUUAGCUAGAUCUGAAUAAUAGUAGUUUAAUCCCAGAAAAUCUGGGCAUCCCUAAAUGCAGGAGACCAAGUCCCAGCAACUGCACAGCAUGUGUAUCCCUAAUGGGAGCAGCAGGUAUUUAUUCUGUAUUCACAUUUAACAAUGCUGUUCCUUGUCCCACCAGAGCAGGUUCCAAGUAGCUUCUGCUCAUUUUCCCCUCUUAAGGAAUUCUGGGAUUUCCAUCAGGUAACCUACAAUGAAAAUCACACAAGCAAAACCAGCAAUACUGAGUCAGAGACCUAAUUUUCUUCAUUAAAAAUGUCCAACUAUUUUUACAGCACAGUAACCCGUGGAUUUCCAGCCUGCGGACAGGCACCCCUCCGACGAUGCCCAGGUCAGUGCUCGGUGCCUUCGCGCUGCUGGGUGCCCCCUACCGUGAGGGAAGCCCAAGGCAAGGCCUGCGGGCUUCCUCCCGCCUUUCC